GCAAACUUGGUCAUUUAGAGGAAGUAAAAGUCGUAACAAGGUUUCCGUAGGUGAACCUGCGGAAGGAUCAUUACCGAGUGAGGGUUCCCUCGUGGGCCCAACCUCCCACCCGUGUCUAUCGUACCUCUGUUGCUUCGGCGCGGCCAAAGUGCCCGCCGAAGACCCCUCUCGAACGCUGUCUUUUGAAGGAUUGCAGUCUGAGUUGAUUUGAAAAAUCAGUCAAAACUUUCAACAACGGAUCUCUUGGUUCCGGCAUCGAUGAAGAACGCAGC
rnacentral:misc_RNA from 1 species